rnacentral:rRNA from 1 species
UGGCUCAGGACGAACGCUGGCGGCGUGCUUAACACAUGCAAGUCGAACGGAGAUAUUAAUGAAGCUUGCGAUUUAAUAAUCUUAGUGGCGGACGGGUGAGUAACGCGUGGGCAACCUACCCAUAAGCGGGGGAUAACAGUUGGAAACGACUGCUAAUACCGCAUAAGCUAUUGAGGUCGCAUGACCUAAAUAGUAAAGGUGGCGAAAGCUAUCACUUAUGGAUGGGCCCGCGUCUGAUUAGCUAGUUGGUGGGAUAGCAGCCUACCAAGGCAACGAUCAGUAGCCGGCCUGAGAGGGUGGACGGCCACACUGGGACUGAGACACGGCCCAGACUCCUACGGGAGGCAGCAGUGGGGAAUAUUGCGCAAUGGGGGAAACCCUGACGCAGCGACGCCGCGUGAGCGAAGAAGGCCUUAGGGUCGUAAAGCUCUGUUGUAAGGGACGAAUGUUUAUCUGGCGAACAGUCAGAUAAAGUGACGGUACCUUACCAGCAAGCCCCGGCUAACUACGUGCCAGCCGCCGC